rnacentral:rRNA from 1 species
AGUGAACGCUGGCGGCGUGCUUAACACAUGCAAGUCGAACGAGAACGGAUUAUAGCUUGCUAUAAUUGUCAGCUAAGUGGCGCACGGGUGAGUAAUGUAUAGGUAAUAUGCCUCUUACUAAGGGAUAACAAAUGGAAACGUUUGCUAAUACCUUAUACUCCUUAUUAACAGAAGUUAAUAAGGGAAAGAUUUAUUGGUAAGAGAUUAGCCUGUAUUGUAUCAGUUAGUUGGUGGGGUAAUGGCUUACCGAGACUAUGACACAUAACUGGUUUGAGAGGAUGAUCAGUCACACUGGAACUGAGAUACGGUCCAGACUCCUACGGGAGGCAGCAGUGGGGAAUAUUGCACAAUGGACGAAAGUCUGAUGCAGCAACGCCGCGUGGAGGAUGACACAUUUCGGUGCGUAAACUCCUUUUAUAUGAGAAGAUAAUGACGGUAUUAUAUGAAUAAGCACCGGCUAACUCCGUGCCAGCAGCCGCCGUAA